CAGUAGCCGCGGGAACACGAAGGGGGCUAGCGUUGCUCGGAAUGACUGGGCGUAAAGGGCGCGUAGGCGGUUGUUACAGUCAGAUGUGAAAUUCCUGGGCUCAACCUGGGGGCUGCAUUUGAUACUGGGAGGCUUGAGUAUGGAAGAGGGUCGUGGAAUUCCCAGUGUAGAGGUGAAAUUCGUAGAUAUUGGGAAGAACACCGGUGGCGAAGGCGGCGACCUGGUCCAUAACUGACGCUGAGGCGCGAAAGCGUGGGGAGCAAACAGGAUUAGAGACCCGUGUAGUCCCUGUCUCUUAUAC
rnacentral:rRNA from 1 species